GGAAGGUCCGGGCGUUAUCCGGAUUUAUUGGGUUUAAAGGGAGCGUAGGCGGAUUGUUAAGUCAGUUGUGAAAUACGGCGGCUCAACCGUCGAACUGCAGUUGAUACUGGAGGUCUUGAGUGCACACAGGGAUGCUGGAAUUCAUGGUGUAGCGGUGAAAUGCUCAGAUAUCAUGAAGAACUCCGAUCGCGAGGGCAGGCAUCCGGGGUGCAACUGACGCUGAGGCUCGAAAGUGCGGGUAUCAAACAGGAUUAGAUACCCUGGUAGUCCGCACAGUGAACGAUGAAUACUCGCGGUUUGCGAUACAAUGUAAGCCGCCAAGCGAAAGCGUUAAGUAUUCCACCUGGGGAGU
rnacentral:rRNA from 1 species